rnacentral:lncRNA from 1 species
UUAUGGCAGGACAUGCUGCCCCCAAAGCCUCAAACCCCAGAUGUCUUUAGCUAUUGAGAGUAUUUCUAAGAGCAAAGUCUCCAUAUUUCAUCACUUGUAUUAAGCUCCGGUCCUGGAACAUGCCAAAUAUUUUAUCACUUGAAUCCAGGAGGCAGAUGUUGCAGUGAGCCAAGGUUGCACCACUGGGCAAUAGAGCAAGACUCAGUCUCCGAAAAAAAAAAAAAAAAAAAGAUUAAUGAGCUGUCAUAGA